UACGUAGGGCCCGAGCGUUGUCCGGAAUCAUUGGGCGUAAAGAGCGUGUAGGCGGCCACUUAAGUCCUGCGUGAAAUCUUGCGGCUCAACCGCAAGCGGUCAUGGGAAACUGGGUGGCUAGAGUGCGGGAGAGGAGAGUGGAAUUCCUGGUGUAGCGGUGGAAUGCGCAGAUAUCAGGAAGAACACCCGUGGCGAAGGCGGCUCUCUGGAACGCAACUGACGCUGAGACGCGAAAGCGUGGGGAGCAAACAGG
rnacentral:rRNA from 1 species